rnacentral:rRNA from 1 species
UACGUAGGGUGCGAGCGUUAAUCGGAAUUACUGGGCGUAAAGCGUGCGCAGGCGGUAAUGCAAGACAGAUGUGAGAUCCCCGGGCUCAACCUGGGAACUGCAUUUGUGACUGCAUUGCUGGAGUGCGGCAGAGGGGGAUGGAAUUCCGCGUGUAGCAGUGAAAUGCGUAGAUAUGCGGAGGAACACCGAUGGCGAAGGCAAUCCCCCGGGCCUGCACUGACGCUCAUGCACGAAAGCGUGGGGAGCGAACAGGAUUAGAAACCCUGGUAGU